CUGGACAAGGGAUCACUCAGCUUGUCUGUCGAUGAAGAGCAUGGCCAGUCGUGAGAACUGAUGUGAAUUGCAGGAUUUGGUAAACAUCAACACCUCAAACGCACAUUGCAGCCUCAAGAUUCCUUGUGUUGGGGUCCUGUCCGGUCGAG